UACGUAGGUGGCAAGCGUUGUCCGGAUUUACUGGGCGUAAAGAGCGCGCAGGCGGUCGUUCAAGUCGAGUGUGAAAGCCCCCGGCUCAACUGGGGAGGGUCACUCGAUACUGAUCGACUCGAAGGCAGAAGAGGGAAGCGGAAUUCCCGGUGUAGUGGUGAAAUGCGUAGAUAUCGGGAGGAACACCAGUGGCGAAGGCGGCUUUCUGGACGACAACUGACGCUGAGACGCGAAAGCGUGGGGAGCAAACAGG
rnacentral:rRNA from 1 species